rnacentral:rRNA from 1 species
AUACGUAGGGGGCGAGCGUUGUCCGGAAUGAUUGGGCGUAAAGGGCGCGUAGGCGGCCCGGUAAGUCUGGAGUGAAAGUCCUGUUUUUAAGAUGGGAAUUGCUUUGGAUACUGUCGGGCUUGAGUGCAGGAGAGGUAAGUGGAAUUCCCAGUGUAGCGGUGAAAUGCGUAGAGAUUGGGAGGAACACCAGUGGCGAAGGCGACUUACUGGACUGUAACUGACGCUGAGGCGCGAAAGUGUGGGGAGCAAACAGGAUUAGAUACCCUGGUAGUCCACGCUGUAAACGAUGAAUACUAGGUGUGGGGGGACUGACCCCUCCGUGCCGGAGUUAACACAUUAAGUAUUCCACCUGGGGAGUACGGCCGCAAGGUUGAAACUCAAAUGAAUUGACGGGG